rnacentral:lncRNA from 1 species
GGCACUUAGUGCUCACCAGAGUCAGCUACAUGGCGAGUUAUUCCCUGCAUGGGUAACUUGUCGCGUGGCGAGGUGAAUGUAGGUGGCCUCGGUUCUGGGCGUUUCGGUAAAGUUGAAUGUUGCUUUGAGGUAACUUGUUGGUUAUAUUUUUGGGUAUGUUUUUCUCACUUUAUGGUUGUUCUGCUCCAACCAUAAAGGAGAGUUUCUUUUGU